GACGAACGCUGGCGGCGUGCUUAACACAUGCAAGUCGAACGAUGAACCACUUCGGUGGGGAUUAGUGGCGAACGGGUGAGUAACACGUGGGCAAUCUGCCCUUCACUCUGGGACAAGCCCUGGAAACGGGGUCUAAUACCGGAUAACACUGCCACGGGCAUCUGUGGUAGGUUAAAAGCUCCGGCGGCGAAGGAUGAGCCCGCGGCCUAUCAGCUUGUUGGUGAGGUAAUGGCNCACCAAGGCGACGACGGGUAGCCGGCCUGAGAGGGCGACCGGCCACACUGGGACUGAGACACGGCCCAGACUCCUACGGGAGGCAGCAGUGGGGAAUAUUGCACAAUGGGCGAAAGCCUGAUGCAGCGACGCCGCGUGAGGGAUGACGGCCU
rnacentral:rRNA from 1 species